AUGGCGUCCCAGACAGAUUCGCCUUCUCCGCAAGGCAUGCUGUUGUUGUGUGACAAAACAACACCGCUAUAAGGCGUUGGAAUAGUUUGGUGAGCAUUACUGCAGCUUCCCUGUUUCUGCGUCUCGAAGGAGUGAGGGGUAAAAACAACAAAACAGAUCACUCAUCAAAUCUCCUCCACCCAGUCCCACCAUGAAUAUCCAGUCAGCUAUCAACAGGGCGGUGUUUGCUCCCCGGGAUGAGAGGAUGCUAGUGGCUGUGGAGGUGAAGAGGAGAAAAAGGAAAAGGGUCCCCUUUCUGCCCACUGGAGGCAAGGGAGAAUACAUGACAUACAUCUGUUUGUCAGUGACCAAUAAGAGGCCAGCUCAGCUCCUCAUCACCAAAGUCAAGCAGUUUGGAGGCUCCGCCCCCUUCACCAGAAGGUCACAGUGGGCCGUGGAGCAGCUUCGCCAGGUCAACGGCAUCAACCCCAACAAGGACUGCCCAGAGUUUGACCUGGUGUUCGACAACGCCUUUGACCAAUGGGUGGCCAGCUCAGCGCCAGAGAAGUGCAUCUUCAUCCAGAUCAUGUACCACGCCUGUCAGACCUAUUGGGAAGGCAAGGAGGGAGUCCCUGGUAGCCCAUCCGUGGACCAGCAGAAGGGGCAAAGAGCCCAAGGGGGCCAGGGUAGCCCAGGGGCACAAGGGGGCCAGGGUAGCCCAGGGGCCCAAGUGGGCCAGAUAGGAGGGCCAGUGGCCCAGGCUAGACGGAAGAGCACCGUGGGUCUCAGGCCCCAUCAUACUGAGUUUGUCAACUGUCAGUCCAAACUCACAGGAGAUGCCUGCAAAAUGAAUCUGGUCCUGUACCGUUGCAAGGUCUUUUUCAAUCGCAUGAAGAAGGUGAUGGUUUCAAACCAAAGCCGUUCUCAGGCUGGAGCAGGUCCUAGAGCAGGACCCAGUGGGCAGCGCCCUCCAGGGGGCAGUAUGGGUAGUGUAGUCCAGAGGGCCAGCCAGGCCCUGCAGGAGCGUGGGGAGAGACUGGGCCGGGCCGAGGACAAGACAGUAGACCUAAUGCACAAAGCCCAGCAGUUUGCAGACACUGCUCACAAGGUGUGACAUUGUUGAAUGUAAAUAGUAUAGACACACACACACACACAGAUUCAGCAUGUGGGUAAAAGUUUGUGCAUCAUUCCACACUAUGGCUAUCCUGCAGUGUACGUUGACUUUGUUCAGAACGUUUACCCACUGAGAAAGCCAGCAGAGCUACAGUCAACCUCAUCAACCAACAAAAAAAAUCAGGCCCCUAGAAUGCCCUCCCAAGUGGCCCAUCGAAGUGAAAAUUUAGUAGGAAAUGAUCUAGAAUGUGUAAAUUAUGAUUUUCUUUCUCCUCUAGCUGGCUCUGAAGUAUUCAAACUAGAGGCAUAUCUUCCUGUGGAACCGCUCCUGGAGUCUUUGGCCCUAAUUUACUUGUUAAUUCUAUGUAAUAACAUUUUUACUAAUCUUUGACUGAGUUGCAACUAAUGGACUAAUGUUGGACUGAGUUGAAACCAAGUGGUCACACUGCAAUUCCUCUGUGAAGAGUCCUGUCUAGUACUGGGUUAUUGCGCUUGCUAUUAGGACUUAGACUGUGGACAAGCAACUGUCACUUGUGUCAGAAGGACUUUUAAGUGUUUACAGGUGGGGAGGACGGCCCAGUUAUGGACCCCCCCCCCCAGGAUUAAAGAAUGACCUUUCACCUCUAGAACAGGACCUGUGGAUUACAUGAUGGUGUCCUUUCAUGGGAUAGAUAGUUUAUAUACUGGAUGGCAAUGUAGUGUCACAAUGCUCCCACUGUUUGAGUGUACAUGUCUUCCCUGCUUCAGUAGCCUCUUCUCUGAUAACAAGGAUUUUAGAUUGUAUUGAUGAACUUUUGUGUUGUGCGGUUUUAGAUAUCUUUAAUAUAGAUUCAUGAAUUCACACAGUGAACAGCUGACAAGUGAAGUUGAGAACCUUCGUGUCUCCACAAUGAAUGUAUUUGUUGUUUUAUUUUUUAUUUCAUUUGUAUUUUUUGCUCAUUGCAUAAAUUAUUGAUCAUUUAUGACUGAAUAGGCACACACAAAGAGCAGCUUGUGAAUAUUUGCACGAACCGAUGCAACUCGGAUUGCAAAUUAAUUCCUGGUGUUAUUAUUUUCCAAUUUUUUUUAUCUCUGCGUUGUUGGGAAGGGCCUGUAAGGAAGCAUUUCACUGUUAGUCUACACCUGUUUACGAAGCAUGUGACGCAACCAUUAUUAUUUUUUACAAAUUGCACAUUCAUUGAAUGGCAUUGAAUGCAUAAGUGUGGCUCUUAAGGUUAUUGCCUUCAUGGUUGUCAGAGCAGGUGCAGGGGAACAAGGAACACCUGGUGCAAUCUUUUUUUUUUUCUUUGCAUGAUUUUGUAAUGGUCUUGAUUUCUUUGCUCUUUCUAAAGUGGAAUAUGCACUCAUUUGCUUUCAGUUUUUUUUCCAUGCUCAAUUCCUCCAGUGCCCUUUCCCUGCUUGUAUCAAAACCAUUGCUUAGUCACCAAUCACUGUUCCAAAUUCUAGUUAAUAUGUUCCUAUUUGAUCCUUGCUCUUGUCUUUGUCUAAUCGUGUUUGAUUAAUUGAUCCCCUGAAUUGUCACGUAUGUCAUCUGUUUUUGUCUCUUGUGCCAUAUCUACAUGUAUGCUGGUUCCAUGUGAAAAGAUUUGAGUGUAGCAGUUGGAAUGGUGGGUUCAUGUAUGUAGACCAGGUCUCUUCUAGGUGAGGUCAUAGGGAAGGUAUUUAGUGUUGACGUGUGAUGGUAAUCACGUCCACCCAGCCGGCUCAAUGCGGUAGCAAAUUGAUCCCGGGGACGACGUUGGUGUGAUGACGUUUCUGAUUAACACUGUAUAGAUACCGUGGCGUUGGCUAGUGAUGAGGAGACUGGUAGAGAUGGGAUGGUUCAGUUGGUUAGUGAUAAGGGUUCGUUAGGAUGAAGGUGUAGUUGUUGGUCUAGCUAAAUGCUGUUUUGAUGCCCAGUGAUAAUGUUUUUAUUCUGCAUACUACAGACAGUUUUUUGGGAUGGAGUUUUCCUUUACUCUUAUGUUUUGGUAUUUUUUUUCAUUAGUCCAUUGACAAGCAAAACAUUUUGAGACCAAUGAAACAAACACCGAAAGACUGUUUUUGGGGUGGAGUUUUCCUUUAAUUGAUAUGCUUUAGCAGCUGGGGCAGUAUGUCCCUCCUUUAUGCUAAACGUCUCCCAGAAAGUGAGAGGGUCGUCUUACCUCUGUCGUCAGAGUACUCCUAUUAGAAUGACGCUUAUUCUGUCGGCUAACUGUCAGGAGUGGAAUCCAAAGAGGCCGCUUGUCGUAACUGCAUGUUUUCUGUUGCUAUGUUACUGCUGUGGCAAAAUGUUGGUUAGAAUCUAAAUGAAUUGUCCAAGAAGAGUGCCUUACUACCUUAUUUGUAUAGCCUGAUCGUGGAGUUAAACCCUGUACUGACAUGUUUUAUUGUUCCUAGAAAUGCAGAGUAUUUAACAUUGCCUUAUACUACAGAGCUUCAAGUACUGUUUUAUGUGUAAAUGAGAUUUCUUGUACUGUCUUUAAUGAGAAGAAGAGCAAUGACCUUAACACUCCUUUUUGAGCCAAUAAAUGAAACCCAUCUGA